rnacentral:lncRNA from 1 species
ACUCGUGAAUUAAAGUCAGCUCCUCCUAAUAGUCUCACAAUGCGUCUAGCCGAAACUUUCUGUAACAUUCAUAAUGAUUAUGGUCUUAAAGCAAUGGCUCAUAUUUGGUAUGAAGUGAUACAAGAACUGCGCUACAGGUGGGAGAAUGGUAUAGUGUUACCAAGUUUAGGGAAGAGUCAUCCUGACAUGUCUUGUUGUCUCUUACAUCAGAAACUACAGGUGCAGUGGCCAAUAUCACUCCACAUGGUGUGAAAGAUGUACUAUAUGUACUUGACAUUAUGUUUUACGUUAGCCCUC